rnacentral:rRNA from 1 species
AUGGCCGAUGGCUUGCCGGGGCACCUCUGGGCGCGAGACAUCCACGGAGUUGUGGGCAUUCACGAAAUCGGCCAGUACAUCUUGCUAUGGCGCUUGAUCGAGAGCACAACGCUCUCCGACACGCCUGACCAGCUCGUGUGGAAGUGGACGGUGUCGGGCAUCUGCACCGCUAAAUCUGCAUACGCCGCUUCCUUGCACGGCUCGAUGACCUGCGGCAACUGGAGGCUCACAUGGAAGAGUUGGGCACCCCCCAAAGUGAAGUUCUUCCUCUGGCUUGUCAGCUUGGAUCGAUGCUGGACGGCGGACCGCCUCGCCCGGCAUGGACUGCAGCACCACAACAGUUGCCCUCUUUGCUGCCAGGAGCCUGAAACAAUGCGCCAUCUCCUCCUUGGGUGUUCCUUCUCGAGGCACGUCUGGUUCGAGAUCCUCUCCUGGAUGCGCAUGACAUGUAGGCCCCCGAGCAACGAGGCUACCCUCUUUGAUUGGUGGCAUGAUGCCCGGCAGGUCACGCCCAAGGCGAUGCGCAAGGGGCUGGCAUCCGCGACACUUCUUACCUCCUGGAUGAUCUGGAAGCACCGCAAUGAUUGCGUCUUCAACGACGCACGCCCUUCCAUCCGGACGCUAGUUCACGGCAUCAAGGAGGAGGCCAAACUUUGGGCUACGGCAGGCGCUGCUGGACUCAGAGUAGUCUUGCCCCCGACCUGGGACGUGCACCAGCUCAUGUCCCCCGACUGUAAUUCGCCUCCUAGGAGGACUGUAACAUAA